CUCAAUCUCGCAUCUGAUUCUGAUCCUAGAUAGGCUUUAAGUCCAUUCAGAUGUGUGAGUACUUCGAUUCAAGUUUUGUAAUUUUCGUAUUAUGUGCUACUCUGUUUUAAAAGGCUUUUUCGGUACUCGUCCGGCCUCCUAAGUAGCGCACAAUCAAAACAUCCUGAGUCUCACAUGCGAGGUUUAGUUUCAUGAGGAUUACACUCCAAGCGUCCGAUUGUGCAUCUUGAAUACACUUAACUCUCAAUGGUUGGAGCUCGCCCGAUAUUUUGUACGCAAAUCAUGUGUUGAAUUCCCUUAUUAGCUUGUUGGCCCUCAUAAUUCUAUAACAAAUGAAUGGUAAAAGUUCUAUUCAUAUGUAUGAAUAUCAAAAUUGAGAGUGUAUACGAGUAAAAUCGAACCCUUGGGACACCUCUGUUCUCGAAGAAGUAAAUGGAACAGAAAUGCAAAUGUGAGGAGCCAAAAUCGAGGUAAGAAGCUCCUCGAGUCGAGGCCAGGGCAAACACCUGCCCUCGGAGAAAUCGGAGUCACGCCCCAAGACCGAUUCGAAACCUUAAACUUCAAAGAACGUUAUCUGACAAUCGAGCACGACUAAUAAAAGGUCGUGAUAUCCGCGACUAGCCAGAUGUCACAGCAUGAAUCUCAACACUUAUCGGCAGAGAGCUGGUGAUUAGUUAAACGGAAGAUUUUUAUCUUUUAUGGAAUUGUAAUUAGGGUAAAAUUCCCUACUAUAUAAAGGAGGAUAUGAUUAUUCAUUAACAACAUUGUAACAUGUGCAUCAAGGCAAUAUACUCUCAUUUUCUCUAUUAUUAAAACUUCUUGUUUUUGUUCAUCAGUGCUUCGUUAUUGUGAAUCCGGGAUCGAAGGCAGGCAUUCCAUU
rnacentral:lncRNA from 1 species